GUUCAUAUUACCAUUUCGGGAAGGGUUUUGAAAGCACCCGAAAUGCCCGCUAACACCCGGCUAUCCGAUAAUUAAUUUAUUUGGCUCAAAUAAUUUAACUUGACUUAAAUUGCAAAAUCGGACUACUUUAUAGUUGAGACCAUUUUAAUAGAAAAAUAAUGCAAUAUCAUCUAAUUGAGGUAUUUCGUAAACUUAUUUAUUUAUUAUUUUAUUUUUUUUAAGUCGAGUUAAAGAUGAGUAAUUUGGUUAAGUAAUUAAUUCAAAAUGGGUGUCUUUCGGGGAUUUGAAUAUUUUCGACCUUAAGAUUAACGACAAAUAUUAGCAAGUAAAUAAACAUAAUAAAAAUGAAUAGGGAAAGAGACUUGGGCCCAAAUCUGGUUUUCCUGUCCGGCUGGGCCAGUAUAUGGGCCCAUUUUCGUUUUGAGCCUUUGGCCCAUUUGAAUCACUUGUACCUGUCCUAAGAAACUAACAAGUAUAACGAAUAAGUGAGCUUAGGCCCAAAAAUAAUAAAAUACAACUCUUUUUAUAUAAAGAGUAGGCCCUUGGCCUAAUCUUUUUAAUUCUCCCCGGCAUCGAAUUCCUUCAACCUUGUUCAUCGAUUUCUCAAGGUUGGCUGACUCGAUAAGAGAAUUUUGGACCUUCGUGGCCCUCUCGAAAUGCAAAGGUAUAGUCUAUGAGGACUUGGACAGAUUUCACAUGCAAAAGAAACAAUAGGAUAAAAACAUAAGAGUCUCGUUGAUUCAAAUGUGAUUAAGGGAACACAUAAUGAAAAUUUAAAGCACCAAACUUAGGAGCACCCUACUGUAUCAAUCUAGAGAAUGCAACUGAGAAGCAUAAAUAAGGUAAUUCAAAUGAGAUAUCCUUAAAAUUACAAUAGAUCACCAAAUGAGUAAAACAUGUAGACAUGGUGAAGGCAAAAUAAUGAUAGCAACGAAUAUAAAACAAGGAUAUAAGACUUAUCGAAAAUCUCAAAUAAGACAUUAACCCUUUAGAGAUGUUAUAAGUAAGACAUUAACCUUUUUGAGAUGUUAGCAAUUCCUUAUCGAAAAUCUCAAAUAAGACUUCUCAUAUAUGAUAAAAGAGCAAAAACUAAAUAUAAAAAAAAAGAACUAGAAACUAGCAUUUAGACAAAGUCAUCUAAUAAGACCAAAAUAAAUUUGUUUCUCAUGAUUUUUAGCCUAUUCAUGAUCAAAUACAAAGUAGCUGAACUAUAGUAAUCACAUAUCAACGAAUUAUCUAUUGCUAUACACAUUACAAAUCAUACUAUAUAAAUAUGUUUUCCAAAUAAACUAACAGAAUGGCAAAUCUAACCAUUUCAUAUUAACAGACAAUAGAAUAGCAUAUGUUUUAGACUUAUGAACGAGAUUAUCCAAUACGAACAAGAUUUAUUCAAUGCCUACAAAUAUAUUUGAAAGCUAAGGAGAAAGAACAAACGAAAACAACCUCCAAAUCAUAC
rnacentral:lncRNA from 1 species